rnacentral:rRNA from 1 species
GACGAACGCUGGCGGCGUGCCUAAUACAUGCAAGUCGAGCGGACGAAUGGGAGCUUGCUCCCAGACCGUCAGCGGCGGACGGGUGAGUAACACGUGGGCAACCUGCCUGUAAGACUGGGAUAACUCCGGGAAACCGGGGCUAAUACCGGAUAACUCUUUCCCUCACAUGAGGGAAAGCUGAAAGAUGGCAUCUCGCUAUCACUUACAGAUGGGCCCGCGGCGCAUUAGCUAGUUGGUGAGGUAACGGCUCACCAAGGCGACGAUGCGUAGCCGACCUGAGAGGGUGAUCGGCCACACUGGGACUGAGACACGGCCCAGACUCCUACGGGAGGCAGCAGUAGGGAAUCUUCCGCAAUGGACGAAAGUCUGACGGAGCAACGCCGCGUGAGUGAUGAAGGUUUUCGGAUCGUAAAACUCUGUUGUCAGGGAAGAACAAGUACCGGAGUAACUGCCGGUACCUUGACGGUACCUGACCAGAAAGCCACGGCUAACUACGUG